rnacentral:rRNA from 1 species
GACGAACGCUGGCGGUGUGCUUAACACAUGCAAGUCGUGCGACGAACCAGACUUCGGUCUGGGGCAAAGCGGCGAACGGGUGAGUAACACGUGGGUAAUCUGCCCCGAUGACUGGGACAACCCGAGGAAACUCGGGCUAAUACCGGAUGUGGUGCCUGGACUCAAGUCCGGUCACUAAAGGUAGCUUCGGCUUCCGCAUUGGGAGGGGCCCGCGGCCCAUUAGCUUGUUGGUGGGGUCAAGGCCUACCAAGGCAACGAUGGGUAACUGGUCUGAGAGGAUGAUCAGUCACACUGGAACUGAGACACGGUCCAGACUCCUACGGGAGGCAGCAGUGGGGAAUAUUGGACAAUGGGGGCAACCCUGAUCCAGCCAUGCCGCGUGUGUGAAGAAGGCCUCGGUUGUAAGCACUUAAUUGGUAGGAAGGGUAGGAGUGGCGUAAUAUCCAUUAUCUAUGUACGUUACCGUAACAACGAAUAAAGACACCGGACGUAACCUCCGUCGUCCACGCAGCCGCGGUAACG